CGGCAGAAAUUCAAAAUCGCAGAAGCACCAUAAUUAAACAAUGAAAGCAAUUAAACAUGACUAGACAAAAAUGGUUCAGAAUUUCAAAAUUAAAAAUACUCAAAGAAAAGGAAUAGAACGAUUAAAAUGAUGGAAAAGAAAACAAUCAAAAGCUGGAACAUAGAACGACCACACGGCAAAAUCUACUAGAAUUGAAAAUUUAAUGGAACAGUGCGCACGAAAUAAGAAACACGAAGUGAAUGUUGAUGAUAAAAUUGAAUGAAUAAAAAUUGACUUAGCUGGAGCAUUAUGCGGCAACCAUGGCUCUGAAUACCAUAUGAUACGGUGGCUCCAGCCAGGAAUAUGGAUUGAAAUGCAGGGGAAGAUGCAAAACGUAGCUGGACAACGGUGAUGCAGAAAAUAGCAAGCGACAGAGGAAGUUUCUGUGAUUUGGCAGCAGCGGACGGUGAUGUUUGCGUGAAGAAUUUGGUGGAUGAAGAGCUCACAGUGGUGGAUAGGAUCUAGCUCAGGCAGCCUUCAACUGGAAGGAAGCUAGUUGGAUUUGGGGAAAAGCUCAGAUAGGAGGGACUUUGGCAGAGUUUCCCGUGCUGGAAGAAUGCAUCAACAGAAGAAGUUUCUCAUAAAUUCCAAAGCGUAUUAUAAAAGCUUCUAAAGUGUAUUUAUAGUGAAUCCUCCCUGACGUAGUCCUCUUUUUCUUAACUUUACAUUUUAUUGUAUCUGUAGUGUAGCUUGUAAGGAGCAUGGGUCACUAUAAAUACCCAGUUCCUAAUUGUAUUUUCCACUUUUGAGAAUAAUGAGAAUAGAAUUUUCUAAAUCAGAAAAAUAUUCUCUCUUGAAAGUCAUAGGCUAGACAGUCCAAAGACUCCCUCUAGCCACCUUCCAAGGCACACUUCCUAUUUUUCAUUCUUCCAUUUUAUUCACUGUGCUUCCAUUAAUGAUCUCCUCCACGACACACUGUUCAUUCCUCCAUAUCCUUGUCAGCUUGCAUGCGUCAGCCAAAAGGUACAACCCGUGCCUCGUCACCUCAUUUUCCUCACACGCAUCAGAAACUCCAUUUGCAUUCUCGCGUCACAGAACCAUUUCACUCUCGCCGAACCUCCUCUGCUAGGGUUUCGCUUCACAGCGCCUCUGCUCCAUUUCUCUUCACAGAUCCAAACUCUAGUCAUCUUCUAAGGUAAUUUCUCGACGCUCAUUACCCAAACACGUCUUCUUCUAGAGUUCAGAUCCUCUCUUCACCAUUUCCUUCGACUUACACCGAUUAUUUUCCCUUUACUACCGUUUAAUCUACUUUCCACCAUUCAAUCUCGAGUUCGAACCGAUUAAUCGGUUCAUUUUGCGAAUCUCCCCAUUUAUAGGGUUCAGGUUGUCUAGGUUUGGGUUCUCAAAGCUCCUUCUCAGAUUUGCUCCAUUCUCUCUCGGUUUAGAGCUUUCCUCAAAAAUUUCCGCUGCGUAUUCUUCGUCGGAGAAGCCUGGAGGACUCCAACCGUGUCUGCAUCGCGCCUAUCGGUCCUCUUCCUCAAGGCGUCUUUCAUCAAGUGGUCAUCAGAGCUUCGGUUUGUCCGCGCUUAAAGCUAAGUAUCUCGAUCUCUGAUUUUGUGUAUUACUGUUUUGUGUUUUUGUUUUGUGUUAUGUUUUGAUUCGCAUCUUCUUUGAUUAUGUGUCAUGUUUUUCUUGAUUUGGUUUUGUAUUUGUUUCAUUUGAUUCUGAGUAUCUUGUGCAAUUUCUCUUCAUGUUUCCGCGUUGUUCAUCGCAUUGCCUUAACUGUCUUGAUUGUUUAUCUGUUUGAGUUUCGUGCAUCUUAUUCUGUGAAAGUUGUUUUCAUAUUCUUAGGUUUCCAAAAUUUGAUAAGAUGUGCAUAGGUUUGUGUCGUUGUGUGCUUUGAGUCGAGUCUUGUUUUGAUCAUUUUAUUCGGUGAAUCCAAGUGUUUGAGUCUUUUGCUUGAGAAAUCCAUUUUUAUUACGUCAAAGUCGUGUUGCUUUGUUUUAAUUCUCAGUUAAAUCUGAG
rnacentral:lncRNA from 1 species